GACAGAGGGGGCAAGCGUUGCUCGGAAUCACUGGGCGUAAAGGGCGCGUAGGCGGGAUGGCAAGUCAGUCGUGAAAUCUCUCGGCUCAACCGAGAAACGUCGGCUGAUACUGCCGUUCUUGAGGGAUGCAGAGGAGACUGGAAUUCCCGGUGUAGCGGUGAAAUGUGUAGAGAUCGGGAGGAACACCGGUGGCGAAGGCGGGUCUCUGGGCAUUUCCUGACGCUGAGGAGCGAAAGCCAGGGGAGCAAACGGG
rnacentral:rRNA from 1 species